AUCACUCCUCGGCCUUUUGGCUAAGAUCAAGUGUAGGAUCUGUUAUCAGCUUAAUAUCUGAUACGUCCACUAUCCGAGGACAAUAUAUUAAAUGGAUUUUUGGAGCUUGGAGUUGGAAUAGGACCUUACUCCGUCCACUCUACGCAUCGAACUGGUAUCGCAGUACUUCCAGGAAUGGUGCAACCCCU